AAGAUAAUGACGGUACCCCAAGAAUAAGCCCCGGCUAACUUCGUGCCAGCAGCCGCGGUAAUACGAAGGGGGCGAGCGUUUUUCGGAAUUACUGGGCGUAAAGGGUGCGUAGGCGGGUUUUUAAGUCAGGGGUGAAAUCCCGGGGCUCAACCCGGGAACUGCCUUUGAGACUGCGGGUCUGGAGUUCGGGAGAGGGGGGUGGAAUUCCGAGUGUAGCGGUGAAAUUCGUAGAUAUUCGGAGGAACACCGGUGGCGAAGGCGGCCCCCUGGCCCGACACUGACGCUGAGGCACGAAAGCGUGGGGAGCAAACAGGAUUAGAUACCCUGGUAGUCCACGCCC
rnacentral:rRNA from 1 species